rnacentral:rRNA from 1 species
UACGUAGGGUGGCAAGCGUUGUCCGGAAUUAUUGGGCGUAAAGCGCGCGCAGGCGGUUUCUUAAGUCUGAUGUGAAAGCCCACGGCUCAACCGUGGAGGGUCAUUGGAAACUGGGAGACUUGAGUGCAGAAGAGAAGAGCGGAAUUCCACGUGUAGCGGUAGAAAUGCGUAGAGAUGAUGGGGGAACACCAGUGGCGAAGGCGGCUCUUUGGUCGUGUAACUGACGCUGGAGGCGCGAAAAGCGUGGGGGAGCGAAACAGG